AGCGAACGCUGGCGGCAGGCCUAACACAUGCAAGUCGAACGAAGCCUUCGGGCUUAGUGGCGGACGGGUGAGUAACACGUGGGAACGUACCUUUUGGUUCGGAACAACUCAGGGAAACUUGAGCUAAUACCGGAUGAGCCCUUAGGGGGAAAGAUUUAUCGCCGAAAGAGCGGCCCGCGUUAGAUUAGCUAGUUGGUGAGGUAAAGGCUCACCAAGGCUACGAUCUAUAGCUGGUCUGAGAGGAUGAUCAGCCACACUGGGACUGAGACACGGCCCAGACUCCUACGGGAGGCAGCAGUGGGGAAUCUUGCGCAAUGGGCGAAAGCCUGACGCAGCCAUGCCGCGUGAAUGAUGAAGGUCUUAGGAUUGUAAAAUUCUUUUACCAGGGACGAUAAUGACGGUACCUGGAGAAAAAGCCCCGGCUAACUUUGUGCCAGCCGCCGCGGUAAUAC
rnacentral:rRNA from 1 species